UACGUAGGGGGCUAGCGUUGUCCGGAAUCAUUGGGCGUAAAGCGCGCGUAGGCGGCCCGGUAAGUCCGCUGUGAAAGUCAAAGGCUCAACCUUUGAAUGUCAGCGGAUACUGCCAGGCUAGGGUCCGGAAGAGGCGAGUGGAACUCCUGGUGUAGCGGUGGAAUGCGCAGAUAUCAGGAAGAACACCAACGGCGAAGGCAGCUCGCUGGGACGGAACUGACGCUGAGGCGCGAAAGCGUGGGGAGCGAACAGG
rnacentral:rRNA from 1 species